UACAUCCUGUCCCGAUAAGUUUAAUAAUUACAAAAAAUCCCUUAAAAUUGCUGAGCCGUGAUACUUUAGAAAGUUAUGAUACAUGGUAAAUGAUACAUAGUAACUUAAAACUGUUAAGAAAAAAUAGGGGAUAAAAACGGUAAAUUUAAAGUUGUUACUAAAACAGCUUAAUUUGUGGUAACAGAUCAUUAAUCAGCAUUAAAUCAGCACUUAAUUGGAUAUUAAUUUCAUAAUUUGAAAAUCAAAGAUUGUAUCAGUUAUUUAGAAAACAAUUGGAGCUACCGAAAUUUUUUUGUUGUUGCAGUGGGUUUUUGAAGAUGAAUACUUCGAUUUUGAUGAGAUAUUCCGGAAUUUGGGUGAACGAAUUGCAGUAUGAAAAUUACAAAAUUGAUGGAAUCGUUGUUGGUGAUUCAAUUUCGUUUUCUAAUCUCAAAGCAGCAAUUGCGGCCGAGUUGGACAUUGAUGUAUCAAGGAAAGAAAUUGAAAUUCGAUACAUUGUAGAAGGAAUUCAUACUACAUGCAGAACAUGUGAUACAUAGCUACUACAUGUAUCAUUACAUUGACUAAACAAUGUACACACAGAUUCAACAUGUAUCAUCAAGCACAGAUUAUACUUUACUACACUUAUAUUACUAUGAAGUAAUAGAACAAUUAACAAAAACGAAAAAGAGAAGAAUAUACGAACUGAUGAUGGAUUAACUAUAAAAAGGGUCUGGGUUCUUACGAUUCAAUAUUAGGAAGAAAUAGUCGAAUAUGGAUUAAGAAUAAAAAGAAGAAAAUAGAAAAA